GUUGUCUUAGAUUUCUUAACUUCUUAAUGAUCUAUAUAUAUUGAUUACAUAUACAUAAAAAAAAUGUACUCUUUACUGAACAUUUUUAAUUUUUUUUACUUUCAGCAGUGUUGACUUUCCAGUUAUAACGUUUUGCUCUAUGAUACAAUUUGAGUUUCUCAGCACAUUCUCUAUUGAACCAUGGUUUCCCAACCUUUCCUUUCUUUUUUGUUUUUUAAAGAAUUAUCUCCCUUUCUAAUGAUUUUUUUCCCCAAUACCAAAUCACAUUUUGAGGCAGCUUGCAAAAUUAAAGAAUUACAUUCAUCAACUAUUGAAUUAACAAUAAUAUUAUCUAUCAGAUCAGUAUCUAUUUCUUCAAGUUUAACAACAAUUGAAUGGCUUACAGCUUCAUCAAUGUCAUCAUUAAAUUUAUGAUAUUUGUCAUUGUCCCAUUUACA
rnacentral:lncRNA from 1 species